rnacentral:rRNA from 1 species
AGCAUGUGCCGUGAGGCGCUCCCUUAAAUGGGGUAACAUGCGCAACCCCCGCCCUAUGUUAUAAGUGUCAUAGGGGACCGCCCCCCUCCAAGAGCACGAGGUGCUCUACUUAAAACUUGUAACUGAAAACUUAUGACGAAAUUGUUUUAAGUUUUUAGUUUUCUGUUUUUAGUUGAGCGCGCUUCGCGCGCUUUGAGGGGGGAGGAAGGUGGGGAUGACGUCAAAUCAGCAUGGCCCUCUGAUGCCCUGGGCUACACUCGUGUUACAAUGGCCGUUACAAAGGGUGCCAAGCCGCAAGGCGGAGCAUAAUCCCAUAAAAACGGCCCCAGUUCGGAUUGGGGGCUGCAACUCGCCCCCAUGAAGCCGGAAUCGCUAGUAAUCGUGGAUCAGCCACGCCACGGUGAAUACGUUCUCGAGUCCUGUACUCACCGCCCGUCACUGCAGGGGAGCCGGGAAUACCUGAAAUCCUCGCCUCGCGAGGCCCAGGGUAGGCUCGGUGACAUGGCAGAAGUCGUAACAAGGCACGGGUAGCGGAAGCUGCUCGUGGAUCAAUUACACU